GUGGCCUGCCGGGAGAGCAGAGGAGUGGGUGGGGAUCUCCCUGGGCUCCCAUGGCUUAACAGCCACGUUUAGCUGGAUUUAGGAGGUAUAAGCAUUUAUGGUAAAUUCUACUGCUGUAUCACAGCCUGCUUUCUGCUUUUCUAGCUUUGUCUCCAUGGGGGUAUUCCAUACAUUAUCCAAUUUCACAGCCUGAACUUUCCCCCCUACUUAGAAGAUUAUGUGGGGCAGAGAUGUGAGAAGAAAGGGAGUCUUGACACUGCUCCACCUUUUUAUCUCUCUAACUCCAUGUAUAUCUGUCUGCUCUCACGGGGGCCAGGCCUUCUGCCUUCCAAAACCCUGCUUGGAAAUCGCUGAUUCAAGCAGGUAGCAAUUUUAGGGCUCCUUAGGAAAUAAAUGCCUCCUGUGUGCUCCCCUGGCACUGGGAUUUCCUCUCUGAUUUAUCCUGCUCAGGUCUGCUAAUGUCCCUUGACUAAACGGGGCAUGGUGUGAUGGUGUGAAGGUCAUUUUCUAUAUGCAAUAUACAUUUCUGCACUCAUGGUGGGAGGGUAGGACAUCUGAAGCAGCAGAUCCUGCUGGGAAAAGGAAGAAGAAAAGGAUAGUCUGGCUCUUCUUUUCACUGCGUCUUGUGGUGGGAUGAAGGUUUUGACAGCCUAAUUCAGCAUUUAGAGAAAGAACCAAGCAGAAAGAUUCCCCCUCACCCACUCCUUGCAGCCCAGCUGUGACAAACUGACAGAUAAUUAACAAAUCAAGACCUCCUAUUAGCCUUGUCCCUGGUGCAUUAAAGCAGCUCCUAUGUUGCAUGUGUCCUUUAGCAAGUGCCUGUGCUUUCUGGCUGCACAGGGAGGUAGGUACAGCCCUUCAGAGAGGCAAAGGCGCCUCUAAGGUGUCAGUGCACAAAUAUUUCCAGGAAUAGAAGUUGUCUCUAAAAGGAAGCAGUGGACAGUAGGUGGGAGAGCUGUACCAUGACUGCAUGGAAGCCCCUCUAAUGGUGCAGUGCUGUCUGUGGAGUAGCU